GCCGUUAUAACUCAGGUGGUAGAGUGCCAAAUUCGUAAUUUGGAAGUCAGAGGUUCGAGUCCUCUUAACGGCACCA
rnacentral:tRNA from 1 species